rnacentral:tRNA from 1 species
GUGGCCAUAGCUCAACUGGAUAGAGCCCAGGAAUGUGACUCCUGUGGUUGAGAGUUCGAACCUCUCUGGUCACCCCA